rnacentral:rRNA from 1 species
GACAGAGGGUGCAAACGUUGCUCGGAUUUACUGGGCGUAAAGCGUGUGUAGGCGGAUGGGUAAGUCAGAUGUGAAAUCCCUGGGCUCAACCUAGGAACUGCACCUGAAACUGCCCAUCUGGAGUAGUGGAGAGGAGAGCGGAAUUCCUGGUGUAGCGGUGGAAUGCGCAGAUAUCAGGAGGAACACCUAUAGCGAAGGCAGCUUGCUGGGACGUUACUGACGCUAAGGCGCGAAAGCGUGGGGAGCGAACAGG